AGACUUGGGACAUAGGGUACCAAUUGUUGGCUGCUAACCUUCGCUUCAGUCGGUAGAAAAAGGGAAUUUCUCUC
rnacentral:tRNA from 1 species